AACGAACGCUGGCGGCAUGCCUAACACAUGCAAGUCGAACGGGAUCCUAGCUUGCUAGGUGAGAGUGGCGGACGGGUGAGUAACACGUGGGAAUCUGCCUUUUGGUUCGGGAUAACCGCGGGAAACUGCGGCUAAUACCGAAUGCCCUCGUGAGAGGAAAGAUUUAUCGCCAGAAGAGGAGCCCGCGUCCGAUUAGGUAGUUGGUGGGGUAAAGGCCUACCAAGCCGACGAUCGGUAGCUGGUCUGAGAGGAUGAUCAGCCACACUGGGACUGAGAUACGGCCCAGACUCCUACGGGAGGCAGCAGUGGGGAAUAUUGGACAAUGGGGCAACCCUGAUCCAGCAAUGCCGCGUGAGUGAUGAAGGCCUUAGGGUUGUAAAGCUCUUUGCCAGGGAAGAUGAUGACUGUACCUGGAGAAUAAGCCCCGGCUAACUUCGUGCCAGCAGCCGCGGUAAU
rnacentral:rRNA from 1 species